rnacentral:rRNA from 1 species
GGUUGAUCCUGCCGGAGGUCACUGCUAUUGGGAUUCGACUAAGCCAUGCGAGUCGAGAGGGUUCGGCCCUCGGCUGACGGCUCAGUAACACGUGGAUAAUCUACCCUAAGGUGGAGGAUAACCUCGGGAAACUGAGAAUAAUACUCCAUAAGUCUAGGAUACUGGAAUGUACUUAGGCUGAAAACUUCGGUGCCCUAGGAUGAGUCUGCGGACUAUCAGGUUGUAGUCAGGGUAAAGACCUGACUAGCCUACAACGGAUACGGGUUGUGAGAGCAAUAACCCGGAGAUGAUAUCUGAGACACGAUAUCAGGCCCUACGGGGCGCAGCAGGCGCGAAAACUUCACACUGCGCGAAAGCGCGAUGAGGGAAUCCCAAGUGCUUGCACGUAACUGUAAGCUGUUUCUAUGUCUAAAACGCAUAGAGAGUAAGAGCUGGGUAAGACGGGUGCCAGCCGCCGCGGUAA